UUCUGACAACUAAAUAAAUAACAUUUUUUCUAAAGCAGUCUUCAUUUUGUUUAUUCCCAGCUUGGACUGGACUCUGAUGAAGAUUUUUCUUUCAACAAUUUGGCACCCAGGAUGGGACUUUAAACUAAUCUCUCCAAUGGACUGGGCCUGGGUAAGCCUUCAUCUUGCCAGCAGCAGACACCUUGUGUCUCUGGAUGGGUUUCCCAGACCCUGGCCAUUUGGAGUGAAGGUAUUAAAGGGAAUUUUAAGUUUGACCUCAAGGGCUGCUUUAGAAAGAAGGUAAAUAUCUCUAGAUUUUAACUUUAAAGCCCAAGGGAGCAAGGAAAGUGUGUGUAAGUCUGUGUGUGUGACUGAGAAGACCAUUCCCCCAAUCACAGUUGGAUCUUGCUCCCUCUGGCCUUUCCUAACCUGUUCAGGUGGCAGACUCUGGAAAGCAUGAGGAUUUGGUACAGGACCUUUUGUUAUGGAAAAGGGAGAGGCUGUGUGAAAAUAGAAUGGAAAAGUGAGUGAGAGAAUUGGAUUAGGACAAUUAGCUAAGAAUCACUGAGCAGAGUUCUAUUCUGGAAAGGAGGAACCCAUACUCUGAAAUCAUGGCAGACAGAGUCCUCCCAGGCCAUUUGCCUGAAAAACCAAGGGUUAUCACAGGUUAGAAGGUACCUCCACCUAUUGGGGAUGGUAUAUUCCACAAAUAUUGUAUUCCACAUGUUGCAAGGAACCAAGGAGAAAGCCUUGGAAUCUCAUCGCGGAUGGUGGGAAAGAGCAUGGGAAGCUCAGGAUCUAGGAUCCCACCGGGGUCUCCUGUAGGGAGAUGGAUGAAUGUCUGGGACAGGGAUAAAUUGCCCGUCUAGGUGGGAAGUAUUAAAAGCAUGUACAUAAGUAAUGCAGGACUGAACUCUGCUCAGGGAUGAAGCAGGAAAAACCAAUUUGGCUAAAUAUAGGUACUUAAAAGAAAAGGAAAAUAUAUAUAGGAGCAGUGAUAUUUUCCUCCUCGCUUUCUCUUUCUAUGCAACUACAUGAUAUGUUUAAGAUUUGUGUCUUCCCUAAUUUGAGAUAACUAAGAUUUAUGGCGGAAUUGACUAGGGUGUGAAAACCUGUAGUUCUGUUUUCCUCUUCUAUUUUCCAUUUAUUUGUGUUUAUAUGUUUGUCAAAGUCUUUGUGUAUUAGGUAAAUGUGACUGUUGAGUGUCUCUAAUCCCUAGAGACAAGAAUUUUAAAAUUCUGCUAGAAAUUCUGUUUAAAAUAAGCCACCAAAGAAAAUAACCUCACCCUAUUUUGCCUGAUCAGUAAAAAAGGGGGAAGAGAACUGAGUUCUCUUUUUUCUUCCCUUGUUCGGAGACAAUGUUUUAAGCUCAUUUAGAAAGAAAAUGUUGUUUGUUUGCUUAUGCAUUUUCUGUAUGUGUUGUAAAUGGGUUUUAUCUGUUUUGUUUUAUCUCUCUUGUUCCUGGCAAAUUGUACACCUUAAAAUAAUUUUAAAGCUUUCAGCAUUCUCAAGCUGCUCAGCUUCUUUUUUCUCCUCAUCUAUGAUGUCCCCAUUUUGUUUUUUUAUCUGUUUCUUUAACAACUGCAAUAUCAAUGUCUUUUCAAAUGUUGUCUACAAGUUAUCCCCCCCCAUUUUGCUUCUUCAUUUUUUUAUUCUCUGUUCUCCAUUCCUCAUGUCUGACCAACAAUGUCUCUUCUGGGAUAGUCACCCAGAAAGGGGAAAGGGGACUCCGUUCUCAUAUCUUUCAGCCCUGCACAGAUGACCCCCAUAUCCUUUGGAAACAGAGCACACUGAUCCAGACGCUGCCUCCAUUCAUUUGAGCCAGGAAAUGGGGUUUGGAUCCAGUCAUCCACUAGAAAAUCACCAUGCAACCGAGUGGAACAAAUCUUCCCAGGUUCUUCCAUGACCUAGAUACCCGUGAAAGCUGAAGAAAGAGGAAGGACUCCUGGAUCCAUUGGCCCCAUGUGAAGCCUCAGAAGACAAUUGGAAAGUCUAUGGAGGGAGUGCAGAAACUCACUAUCUUGCAGAAAAGAAUUGAAACUUCUUCACACAAAAGUAUUUGAGUUCUUUCAGAAAGGAAAAAUUUCUCUUGGGCAUCCCAUCUGCAUCUGUACUUUGUGGAGUUCUACAUUGUAAAACAGCAUCUAAUGUUAAAGGAAGCAUGCCCAACAUUACAAAUCAUUGAAAGGAAUUAGACUGAAAUCCUAUACAGCACAUUCUGGGAUACCUUCAUUAACAGGAAUUUCAUACACUACAAAUGGCCUUUUUCAUACCAGACAUCCAGUGAUAUAUGCUGGAAACAAGCCAAAGUGUCAGCAAAAACUGUGAGAAAUUCAAGGCAGACGUUUGAGUGGAAGGAGCUUAACUUCUUUUCCCCCCUUAGCCAGCCUUGCACAUUUGUUAAGCACCAUACUUAUCUUGGUUUCCAAGAAACUGAUAUUGUUUCUGUAUGAUUUUAUGUUGGCUAAUUGACACUCCAUAAAUUUAUAAAGUUUGCUAUAAAUCUUAUAUCAUAAAGUUAAUUUUCAGUUUUAAUACAAGAUUUGACCAUUUCAAAACGCAUAACAUUAAUUUAACUUUUGCCAUCCCCAAGAAAACAAGUUACAAAAAAAAUCACUGUUUACUAAAAAAAGGUUUCCUCAGUGAGUUAAAAUGUUAAAAAGUACUUUAUGCAACAUGUAGAUGGUAGCAUUUUUAAUCUUCCUCCUUAUUUUUGUUAUUGUUUUUACUAUGUCCCCAAUUAAGCUGAAGUUUUUUCCCCAUUUGUUAUAGAACAUGGGUGUCAAACUUGAUUGCAUCACAUGACGUAUUGUGAUGUAUCGUGACUUUUUUGCCUUUGUGGAACUGGGGUGAGCAUGGCCUGUGUGUGACACAUUUGGCCCGCAGGCCACCAGUUUGACAUUCCUAUUAUAUUAUUGGAUACCAUUACUGCUCAUCUUUUUUCCUGUUUCCUGAUUGAAAUAUUGUGGGCCUUCUCUUUCUCCUCCUCCUCCUCCUCUUCCUCCUUUUCCUUGGACAUGUAUUCAGAAUAUUCAUUUUGUCAUAAGUACAUAAUUGUGCUUUUGAAUCAACAUGGACUCCUUCCCUGGACAAAUCACUGCAGUUUUUGAAAGCAUAUUCAAUGCUUCCUAUGGCUGAUGGAGAGUGAUUGCCCUAAGCUCACCCAACUGUCUUUGAGCCUACAACAGAAUUAGAACCUCAUUGUUUCUAGCUAAUAUCUGGCUCUCUUGCCAUUUAACUCUCCCAAAAUGUCCAAAGCAAGAAGAAUGGAGCUUCCAAAAUAAAUUAUGCACUGUCUGGUCUGAGAAAAGUCUAAGGUUCUUUAAAAUGGUACUGAUUAGUUGCAUGUAGUCUACUGGUAUAUACUUUCAUGCAUACAUGAUCUGUAAGAGCAAGAUUUUCUCUGCAUAGCUGUACAGAAAAAACUAUUCAAUUUGACACUUCUAUUCCUUCCCCUCCAGGAGAGGGAAUAGUAAAUCUUAGAAUACAGGGAGCUAUGCAGGUUGGUGUUUUUGCCUGCCAAAGACAUUUUUAGACAAGGCAUAAUUAGUAGGAAUUGUUUGUGCUGAUCUCCAAGUAGGCUAAGUUAAUUUUCUGAAACAGCAAGUCCUACAAGAAUUGCUUUAGAGGGUUGUACAUGCAUGGUACAAUCAAAUAGGCAGUUCUGUUUGUCUAAAGUAGUAACAUUAUUUUGACUUCCAGUUGAAAUGCUUUAUGAAUUAAAAGGUCACACAGACAUUUCCUUUUUAAAUUGCAUAUGUAUAAGUGUACAUAAAAGUUAAAAGGAAUGCCAUGUACUGUUUCUGAUGGAUCAUAUUUAUUUCUUUGCUGGAGUGUCUAUACUCCUGUGCAAGUCUUUUAUGGAGACUAUUUGAAAGAUAAAAUGUAUCUUAGCAACCACAUCUUUCAAUAUUUUAUCAGCUGGAUAUUUGCAUCUGUAGUUGCAAAUGUUUAGAAGCAUUUCCUAAAACAGAAAAGGAAAAUAAAACCACAAAUAAUGGAAAAUAAGAAAUUAUGUAUUGUACAGGUUUUAAACAAUUAUGUUAAUAAUAUUACGCAAAAAUAUGAAUUUUUAUAUAGGUAUAUAUAGACAAUUUUAAUAUAAAAUUUCAAUAUAGAGUUGCUGGAGUAUAGAACUAAUAUGAAAUGUUAAGAACUGGCCUCCAGAGGGCAGCUAAAACUUUUUAGAUCAUUAAGAUGAAUAUAUCACAUACAUAUAUUACAAUUUAUGAUAAUAAAACAUGCAAAUUGAAUUAAAGAUCAGAGAGAGAAGUAUAAGAUAAAAGAAAAUUAAAAUUUAAAAAAUCAGUAACUUUCAACUCUUUUGGUACAGUAAAAUAGAAAAUACAAUUAUAGCCUCAACUUUCUGCUAUGCAUUUCUGAUAGAUACAAAUGAUUUCUAUAAUAAUGAAGUUAAUUUAAUAAUCACUUUGUCAUUUUUUCUCUUUUAAGGAUAAAAUCCAGAACUGAUUUCCAUGUGGAAACAAACUGGAUAAGUUCUUCUGUUUAAUUAAAACAGUUAACUUUACCAUGACUGUCAACUCUAUCACUCUUUCCAUCCAUUCUUCCAUUUGGGGAAUUUAUAUCUCUUUCCACUUUUGCACAUAUAAGAUUUUUGCCACUGUCAACAUAUAAUAACAAAGAUGAAAUUUUCUUUUAUGCUUUUUGUCCAUAAGUCCUAAAAGGAAAAUGUCUGCUUUCAGUUUUAUAUUUGUUUUAAGAAUCUUCUAAAUUAAAGACAAAAAUUUGGUAUCAAUAUUUCUGUGCUUUAUCACAAGUCCACCAGAGAUGAUAAAAAGUAUUUUUAAACAAUUAUAUUUAGCAUACAUCUGAGAAAUCUUUAUAAAUCUGUGACAAUUUCUUGGGGGGGGGUGUACCAAUGAUACAUCCUUUUAUAAAACUAAGACAAAUGCAUCUUCCUCCAUUCUUACAAGGUCAGUAAAAUGAAGACCCAGAGUAUUGGGGGCCAUAUGCUGAUCUGUAAACCACUUAGAAAGUGCUGUACAGCACUGUGAAGUGGUAUAUAAGUCUAAGUGCUAUUGCUAUCUUUUGUAUAAAUGUUAUUCAAAAUGAUUUUCAUGUAUAUUCUUAUUAAUGUUUUUAGAGCCAUCCAAAUUAAACAUCAGGAUAAAACAAUCAUAUGGAAGCCUUGCUGAUUCCUUCUUCAAAUGGGUGUGGUUAAUGCAAUGGCAGAAAACAACUACAUGGUGUUAAGAAAUAUUAAAAAUAUAAAUAUGGGUCAUGUGGGAGAGAGCCUUCUCUUGCUUCACUUCUAGGCCAUGUCACUCAUUUCUAGCAGAGUUAAAAAAACAUUCUUGGAAAACAUUAGUAAAAUAAUUAUGCAAAUAUAAGCUUUGU